UGGUUUGUUACUCCGUGAAGCAUGUGUAGUCACGAGUAAGUCAGAUGAUGCAUCAAGCAUGUUCUGUACAGAGUGAAUAAAUCUGAAUAGACUUGGCAAACAGUUCAUGGAACUGAAGCAACAAUAACAGUAUUGAAAUCAUAUUCAUCGGGUGCAACGCUCACACAGUGUGUCUGCUAUGCUUUGUUGUUGCAGCAGGCAAGCUCCACCGAGGAGGAGGCCACUGCCGCCCGCGUGCCUCUCCCGACAGACCCACCCCAUGUGUCCGUGGGCACAGAGCCGGGGACGAGCGACACUGCACAACCAUCAGCUCAGCAGGAGCCACUAGAGGAUGCGGCCUGCAGGGCAGCAUCUGAAAACGCCAGGCAGGGGCAGCUGGCGGAGGCAGCAAAUGUGGAGGCAGUCAGGUUCCACCGGAUGCUGCUUGAUCAAAACAGGCAGCAUCAUCAACAACUGGUGGAGGAGCUGAGGGCCUCCCGCGCGGUGCAGCAGCAGCUGGCGGUGGAGAUGAGGGGCUUGCGGGAGGCGACCGCCCUCAUCGCAGCCACCUUGCGCCAGCUCGUGGCUGCCAUCGCCCAUGGCCUUCGUGAGCCGCCUCAGCCGUAGUGGUGACAGAUGGCACCAUUACAUGUUUUUUUAAUAUGCUGUGACUUUUUCGUUUAAUAUGUUGCAUUUCGCAGAAUGUAUAAUUUAUUGUAUUUUUUUUUGUGAUGCGUAGUUUCACUUGCUGAGCAAGUUUGUCUCAGUGAGAAUGGCAGUGAGUGAACUGUAUGUCUAAUGCUUCAU
rnacentral:lncRNA from 1 species